AUGAUCCACCAUGACCAAUCUGGGUUUGUCCGGGGUAGAGGGAUCGCAGACAAUUUCACGUAUGCUGCGGAUAUUGUCCAGUCUUGCUUCAAACGCAAAAAGGCUGCUAUUGUUCUUAAGCUUGAUUUCCAAAAAGCCUUUGACUCAAUAUCUUGGGACGCCAUUGCGGCCGUCUUGCAGGCGAAAGGUUUCCCCCCACUUUGGUGCUCCUGGAUAGACCAACUAAAUAGAUCGAGCCAAUCCUCUGUGCUCCUAAAUGGGACCCCUGGGCCCUGGUUUCACUGCAAAAAAGGACUGCGCCAGGGUGACUCCAUGUCACCGUACCUGUUUAUCCUCAUCGCCGACAUUCUUCAGCGUCUUAUU
rnacentral:rRNA from 1 species